rnacentral:lncRNA from 1 species
UUUUCAAAUUUCAUUGAUUCAUUCAUUCACACAUACAUAGAUAUGAUGAAUUCAUUACACUGAUUCAAGCAGCCCUAAACGUUUUCCAUUUAUAAAGGAUUUCGCUGGUUUUCAGGAUUGGGGUAAACGGAAGAAUAAAGGGUCUCCCAUUCAAAUGCCAUUGGUCUCGGAAGAGACCCCGAACUUCAGAUUUGAAGCGAUCAAGAUUGUUUAAUUGGUGUCGUGUUUCUGAUGGUGAAAAAAACACCAUUGUGUUCGUAUUGUUUAAGGAAUCAAGAAAAGGGUAGUGGCAUCAUUGGGGGUGCUGGGAUUGUGGAGGAUUGGGAUUGGGUGGUGAUUGGAGUUACAGGAGGAAGAUGCAGCUGCACUUCUCACCUAGCAUGAGAAGUAUAACAAUAUCGAGCAGCAAUAACAAUGGAGGGUUUGGUGAAUUAAUGAAGAUCAAACUCGCACCUCGCCAUUUCAACUAUAGAAGACUCUUUCAUACAAUACUUCUCCUAGCUUUUUUGUUGCCUUUUGUCUUCAUUCUCACUGCUCUUGUUACCCUUGAAGGCGUCAACAAGUGCUCCUCAUUUGGUACUUAAAAUCAAUAUCCUUUUUCCUUUAUACAAUUAGCUUCCUAAUCCUGAUGUAUUUUACACCAUUGCUGGUUCCUUUUCAGUGGAUGUUCAUGUUUUCCUUUUCUUGUUAUUGUUCCGUAGCUUAUAUUGUAUAUUGCGAUUCCUUUCUUUUUAACUUUCAUCAGUUAUGUUAUCGACCCGGUCUAGUUUGGCAUUGAGACAAACUUCUUCUUGUUAUUUCUUUGUCGACAAUGCAGUAUAGCUGUUUUUAUUUAUCAGUUUAGAUUGUUGUCAAUGUUAUUGAAACUGUGAUGAUUAAUUUGACAUCAGGAUUGUGUAACAUUAAGGGGAAAGUUGAGUUCUCUCUUUCCCGAGCCUAGUGAUGUCUUCAACUUGAUGGCAAGUACCCUCAUAAAAAGGGAAGGACAAAGAUACUGAUAAAUGAGUUGUAACAACUUAUUGUAAUCCUUGAUAUACUUUGAUUCAACUUUGGUAGCAGAAACAUGAUUGAAUUCAAUUCAUGGAUGUCUAUGCAUGCAAGAGAGAGGGUUGCUGAUGGAUGGGGGUGGGGGGCAUGCUUAGUUAAUAUUUUUGGUUGUUUGCACCUGUGGUAUCUAGUAAACACCAGCUUAUGUUUGUAGGGGACUGCGGUCUUCUUAUAUAUGUAAGAAAUGCUACCUUCUGCAUUUUGUGGAGUCUAGAAAAUGUUAAUUGUUGGCACAUGUAACUCAGUGCUAUCUUGAAGCACAAGGACUUUUGCAUCAUAUCUCCUGAUCAUGUCUUUUUGUUGUUCUUGGAUGUCAUUCAGUGCUCUUCUUUCUGUUCCGUAGAAAAAAAGAAGACCCCUUCCCUGGUUGGGUUCUUUUGGGGUUUGGGACCCUGCCUCAAAGUACCAGUGUGUAUAAGGAUCCUGUUUGAUUAGUAUUGUUGAAUUUGGUUAUGAUGCUUGUAAUAGCUGCUUCUUUUCAUUGCUCAGUUUACUUCUGACUAUUGUUAUAUCACACUUUACUUUUGAUUUGUUACAACAAAACUAAAGUUCUGGCAAACCUUAACUUUACUCUCGUUUAAUCGAUAUUCAG